AGCGAACGCUGGCGGCAGGCCUAACACAUGCAAGUCGAACGAAGUCUUCGGACUUAGUGGCGGACGGGUGAGUAACACGUGGGAACGUACCUUUUGGUUCGGAACAACUUAGGGAAACUUGAGCAAAUACCGGAUGAGCCCUUAGGGGGAAAGAUUUAUCGCCGAAAGAGCGGCCCGCGUUAGAUUAGCUAGUUGGUGAGGUAAAGGCUCACCAAGGCUACGAUCUAUAGCUGGUCUGAGAGGAUGAUCAGCCACACAGGGACUGAGACACGGCCCAGACUCCUACGGGAGGCAGCAGUGGGGAAUCCUGCGCAAUGGGCGAAAGCCUGACGCAGCCAUGCCGCGUGUAUGAUGAAGGUCUUAGGAUUGUAAAAUACUUUCACCGGUGAAGAUAAUGACUGUAGCCGGAGAAGAAGCCCCGGCUAACUUCGUGCCAGCAGCCGCGGUAACAC
rnacentral:rRNA from 1 species